UGUUUCGGCUAGGGGGCCAUCCCGGCUUACCAACCCGAUGCAAACUGCGAAUACCGGAGAAUGUUAUCACGGGAGACACACGGCGGGUGCUAACGUCCGUCGUGAAGAGGGAAACAACCCAGACCGCCAGCUAAGGUCCCAAAGUCAUGGUUAAGUGGGAAACGAUGUGGGAAGGCCCAGACAGCCAGGAUGUUGGCUUAGAAGCAGCCAUCAUUUAAAGAAAGCGUAAUAGCUCACUGGUCGAGUCGGCCUGCGCGGAAGAUGUAACGGGGCUAAACCAUGCACCGAAGCUGCGGCAGCGAACGUAUCACUUAAAGCGAUUCAGCGGGUUACGAUUGACGGAGCGAAGCGACGUCAAAGCGUAUACAAAGUCGAGUCGGUUUAAGGAUACGUUCGUUGGGUAGGGGAGCGUUCUGUAAGCCUGUGAAGGUGUGUCGUGAGGCAUGCUGGAGGUAUCAGAAGUGCGAAUGCUGACAUAAGUAACGAUAAAGCGGGUGAAAAGCCCGCUCGCCGGAAGACCAAGGGUUCCUGUCCAACGUUAAUCGGGGCAGGGUGA
rnacentral:rRNA from 1 species